UCGAACGGAGUAUGCAUAUAGCUUGCUAGAUGUGUAUUUAGUGGCGGACGGGUGAGUAACACGUGAGCAACCUGCCCGAAAGUGGGGAAUAGCCCGGGGAAACUCGGAUUAAUACCGCAUGUGAUUAUGCAAGGCAUCUUGCACUAAUCAAAGCUGGGGAUCGUAAGACCUGGCGCUUUCGGAUGGGCUCGCGGCCUAUCAGCUUGUUGGUAAGGUAACGGCUUACCAAGGCUACGACGGGUAACUGGUCUGAGAGGACGACCAGUCACACUGGAACUGAGACACGGUCCAGACACCUACGGGUGGCAGCAGUCGAGAAUCAUUCACAAUGGGGGAAACCCUGAUGGUGCGACGCCGCGUGGAGGAUGACGGCCCUAGGGUUGUAAACUCCUGUCAUCAGAGAGUAACGUUUUGCGGUGAAUAGCCGUGAAAUUUGAUAGUAUCUGAAGAGGAAGGGACGGCUAACUUCGUGCCAGCAGCCGCGGUAAUACGAAGGUCCCAAGCGUUGUUCGGAAUUACUGGGCGUAAAGCGUGUGUAGGCGGUUGGGUAAGUCAGAUGUGAAAUCCCGGGGCUCAACCCCGGAACUGCAUCCGAUACUGCCUGGCUAGAGGACUGGAGGGGAGUCUGGAAUUCUCGGUGUAGCAGUGAAAUGCGUAGAUAUCGAGAGGAACACUAGUGG
rnacentral:rRNA from 1 species